GGGGUGUAGCUCAGUUGGUUAGAGCGCCGGCCUGUCACGCCGGAGGUCGCGAGUUCAAGUCUCGUCACU
rnacentral:tRNA from 1 species